rnacentral:rRNA from 1 species
AUACGGAGGGGGCAAGCGUUGUUCGGAAUUACUGGGCGUAAAGAGUACGUAGGCGGAUCGUUAAGUUAGAGGUGAAAUCCCAGGGCUCAACCCUGGAACUGCCUUUAAUACUGGCGAUCUAGAGAUCGAGAGAGGUGAGUGGAAUUUCCAGUGUAGAGGUGAAAUUCGUAGAUAUUGGAAAGAACACCAGUGGCGAAGGCGGCUCACUGGCUCGAUACUGACGCUGAGGUGCGAAAGCGUGGGGAGCAAACAGGAAUAGAAACCCUAGUAGUCC